UGACGCCAUUUUAGGCCUCAGCCUGCCU
rnacentral:piRNA from 1 species